CUACUACUCUCUCCUGCGAGGAAUCUUCAACCACUUUUCUUCUGCCUCAAAUUAUUGUUAACUUGGCAGAAUCAGAUAUGAAGUGGAUAACUCUUUAUCUCCUAACAUUCUGCUUCUCUGCAACCAAAGCUGAGCUUUGUGAAAAUGUUCUCUCUAACUGUCUGGAACAACAUUUCAAUUGGAGCAGGUGUUAUGAGGAUAGAAUUGUGAGUUGCACGAGCAGAGGUCGGCUAUCUGGCUUCGAUCGGAUGGAGGUGGACCCUUCACUACAGG